CACCUCUAAAGUCCAACACCAGGCAUCUUCCACUUCUCCUCUGUCAAGUCCAAAUCAGACUAGUUCAGAACCCAGGCCUCUGCCUGCCCCUCGAAGACCAAAGGUUAACAGCAUCUUGAAUCUCUUUGGAUCGUGGUUAUUUGACGCAGCAUUUGUUCAUUGUAAACUCCAUAAUGGAAUAAACAGAGACAGCAGCAUGACUGCCAUUGCAACACAAGCUAGCAUGGAGUUUCGACGGAAGGGUUCCCAAAUGUCAACAGACACCAUGGUUUCCAAUCCUGUGUUUGAUGCAAGUGAAUUUCCUGAUAACUAUGAAGCAGGAAGAGCUGAGGCUUGUGGGACAUUAUGUAGAAU
rnacentral:lncRNA from 1 species